AUUGAACGCUGGCGGCAUGCCUUACACAUGCAAGUCGAACGGCAGCACGGGAGCAAUCCUGAUGGCGAGUGGCGAACGGGUGAGUGAUGUAUCGGAACGUGCCCAGUCGUGGGGGAUAACGUAGCGAAAGCUACGCUAAUACCGCAUACGAUCUAUGGAUGAAAGCGGGGGAUCGCAAGACCUCGCGCGAUUGGAGCGGCCGAUAUCAGAUUAGGUAGUUGGUGGGGUAAGGGCUCACCAAGCCGACGAUCUGUAGCUGGUCUGAGAGGACGACCAGCCACACUGGGACUGAGACACGGCCCAGACUCCUACGGGAGGCAGCAGUGGGGAAUUUUGGACAAUGGGCGCAAGCCUGAUCCAGCAAUGCCGCGUGCAGGAUGAAGGCCUUCGGGUUGUAAACUGCUUUUGUACGGAACGAAACGGCGAGCUCUAAUACAGUUUGCUAAUGACGGUACCGUAAGAAUAAGCACCGGCUAACUACAUGCCAGCCGCCGCGGUAA
rnacentral:rRNA from 1 species